UACGGAGGGUGCAAGCGUUAUCCGGAUUCACUGGGUUUAAAGGGUGCGUAGGCGGAUAGGUAAGUCAGUGGUGAAAUCUCCGAGCUUAACUCGGAAACUGCCGUUUGAUACUACUUGUCUUGAAUACUGUGGAGGUAAGCGGAAAUAUGUCAUGUAGCGGUGAAAUGCUUAGAUAUGACAUAGAACACCAAAUUGCGAAGGCAGCUUACUACGCAGUUAUUGACGCUGAGGCACGAAAAGCGUGGGGAUCAAACAGG
rnacentral:rRNA from 1 species